rnacentral:rRNA from 1 species
UACAUGGGGGGCAACCGUUGCUCGGAAUUGUUGGGCGUAAAGCGCGCGUAGGCGGUUACUUAAGUCGGAUGUGAAAGCCCUCGGCUUAACUGAGGAAGUGCAUCCGAAACUGAGUAGCUAGAGUACGAAAGAGGGUCGCGGAAUUCCCGGUGUAGAGGUGAAAUUCGUAGAUAUCGGGAGGAACACCGGUGGCGAAGGCGGCGACCUGGGUCGAGACUGACGCUGAUGCGCGAAAGCGUGGGGAGCAAACAGG